rnacentral:lncRNA from 1 species
GUAUUCAGGACACACAGUUCACUGUGUGGCACUAUCCCGGUGCGGUCUUCACUGGACCUGCUGGCUAAAACACUCUACAUGAAAGACGGCAGUGAGUUCAGCCGUGCGGCCCACAUCCUGAACUAUGUGGGGACCCAGGUGACGGCUCGUUGGUGUACAGCAGCUUACCUACACCACUGUGCUGCAUGAGUACAGCGCCUCCUUUCGCUGGGAGGACGCACUGCGCCUUUGCCGCUUUGCCAAGUGACACUGACUCCGAAUGGGAGCCCCCAGUGCCAAGGUGUCCAUCCCCCACUGAAGCUGGUUCAUCCAGCUCCUGCCACAAGUGGUGUUCAUCUGCCCAAAUGUAUUUCUGCAGGCAUGGAUGUGCCUCAGGGCCAAAAAGGGCACAGCAUGGAGGCGUCGCUGUGUUCUUUGCAAAAUGAAGUCCCCCAUCACCUGCACCACAUGCUUGGUGACCUUCUGCUUUACAGCAGAAAGAGACUGCUAUGGCACCUGGAAUCAGCAGCACAAUGUGUAGAGGACUGAGGGUCUUCCAAAUAUUGAAAGUGUUAUUUUGUAAAUGUAUACAGUGGGGAAAAAAAGUAUUUAGUCAGCCACCAAUUGUGCAAGUUCUCCCACUUAAAAAGAUGAGAGAGGCCUGUAAUUUUCAUCAUAGGUACACUUCAACUAUGACAGACAAAAUGAGAAAAAUCCAGAAAAUCACAUUGUAGGAUUUUUAAUGAAUUUAUUUGCAAAUUAUGGUGGGAAAUUAGUAUUUGGUCACCUACAAACAAGCAAGAUUUCUGGCUCUCACAGACCUGUAACUUCUUCUUUUAGAGGCUCCUCUGUCCUCCACUCGUUACCUGAAUUAAUGGAACCUGUUUGAAGUUGUUAUCAGUAUAAAAGACACCUGUCCACAACCUCAAACAGUCACACUCCAAACUCCACUAUGGCCAAGACCAAAGAGCUGUCAAAGGACACCAGAAACAAAAUUGUAGACCUGUACCAGGCUGGGAAGACUGCAUCUGC